rnacentral:rRNA from 1 species
AUGUGAUCGUCUCUCGCAUAUCAAUAAGCGGAGGAAAAGAAACUAACAAGGAUUCCCCUAGUAACGGCGAGUGAAGCGGGAAGAGCUCAAAUUUGAAAUCUUAAAGGGUUUCCCUUUGCGAAUUGUAGUUUAAAGAAGUGUUUUCUGUUGAGGUUUUGGUAAAAGUUCUUUGGAAUAGGACAUCAUAGAGGGUGAGAAUCCCGUAUUUGACCUUUACUUUCAACUUUGUGAUACACUUUCAAAGAGUCGGAUUGUUUGGGAAUGCAGUCCAAAAUGGGUGGUAAAUUUCAUCUAAAGCUAAAUAUUGGCGAGAGACCGAUAGCGAACAAGUACCGUGAGGGAAAGAUGAAAAGAACUUUGAAAAGAGAGUUAAACAGUACGUGAAAUUGUCAAAAGGGAAGCGUUUGACACCAGUGUUGUUUUUCUGAAAAUCAAUUAAAGAACUGUUUAUGCUAAGCUGUUUAGACUUUAUCAGCUAUCUGUUUAGUUUUGAGCUUUUCUUUAAUGCACUUUUCAGUUAACAAGUCAACAUCAAUUUCUUUUGCUGUAAAAAAGCUUGAGGAAGGUGGCUUGAGAUUCGUCUUAAGUGUUUAUAGCCUCUUGCCUAUGCAGUCGGAGAGAUUGAGGUCUGCAGCGUAGAUCCUUCGGGGCUAAAUGCAUUUGUGCUAAGUUAUAGCAUUUUAUAGACAACUUGUUGACUAUGAUUUGUCUUGUAGCUUACUCGCUUAUGUUAUUUUACCUACGCUUAGGAUGUUGAGCGCAUGUCUCUCUCU